CGCGUAAUCAACCUGCCCUUCAGAGGGGGACAACAGUUGGAAACGACUGCUAAUACCGCAUACGAUCUAACCUCGGCAUCGAGGAUAGAUGAAAGGUGGCCUCUAUUUAUAAGCUAUCACUGAAGGAGGGGAUUGCGUCUGAUUAGCUAGUUGGAGGGGUAACGGCCCACCAAGACGAUGAUAGGUAGGGGUUCUGAGAGGAAGGUCCCCCACAUUGGAACUGAGACACGGUCCAA
rnacentral:rRNA from 1 species